CAGGGUCGGCCUGACGUAGCAUGGCGCCAAUGAUUGAUAAAGACGGGUCUGAAAAGUUGGGUGAUUUCCUGGCUGAAACCCUAACGGCGCUUGGGGCUAUCGAAACAGUCACACUCCAUCUAGGAUUUUCGACAUGAAACCUUAGUUUUGAACUAGGGUUGACCGCUAAAGACUGGGUGGGUUGCAGGGGCGGAGGAUAGUACAAGGGUAUAUGUGUUGUAGCCCAGAUUAACUUUUUUUUCCUUUUUAGAUUAACUAGGGUUAAUUAUCCUAAAUUGCACAUUUGUAUCAACCUUAGCCCAGCCAAAUAUUCUGGCAUCCAAACAACCGUGUCAUUUUUAGAAGAGAAUUCUAAACUUGAUUGACUUCAUCAUGUAAUACACAUUAACCAUAAAAGUCUAAUUGCAAAUCUCACUAGAAAUUGAAAAUAAAGCCCAUUAAAAAUCAUAAAUAAAGUGUUUGAUUAUCUUUCAUUUCUCUUCAACCUAGUUUUUCUUUUUCUUCCUUAAAGUAGGCAACCUAUUUAACUCAAUCAAUAUUUAAAGUGUAUCUACAACUAAACUAUGAGCCGUCAACUCUCAUUCAACAAUUUUCUAGAGGUAUAUUCAUAAUUUCAUAUGUUUAAGAGUUUUUAUUAAAUGAAAGUUUAGCCCAGUCGAUUUUGAAAUCCUAGUUCCGUCUGGCAGGUUGCCUAGGCUGGCAGGGUCUGUUUUGGGAGCUGAGGUUACUGGGUUUAGUAGGCAGUGGGACUAGGGUGGUUGUGUUGCUUGGGCUACCACUCGUGCAAAAUAUGGACUCAGGGUUUGAUCUUCAAGGUCCAAGGUUGGCAUGCUAUGACACGGAUGUGAUAGAGGUGAUUUCAUCUUAUGGAAAAGUCAUAUCUUUUCUUGAAGAAUCUCUUUGGAUAGAGAAACCGAUCAAAACCUUGAAACAUAAAGGUAUGUCAUUGGGAAGCAAGUAUACGAAGCACCAGAAGAAGUUUAAUUAAGCCUCUGAAAUUGGUUAUUCCGUGUCAUCUGGCAAAUCCCGAGGUUUGAUAGGGGAGAGGCAAGCCCUAAUUAUAAGGGCAAGGAGAUCUACUAAAAAACAAAGCAAGGAGGUACCUUAAUUUAUUUGUUUUUUUACCUAGACUUAUGUUCGAAAAUUAUACUAUUUAUUUCUCUGUAGUAUUUAGUUGAACACCAAUUGCUAUCUUUAGGCGACUAAUAUUAUCAUUACAUGGGAGUUAGAUAGGUAUGGUUAGAAGUCAUUUGUAUUAGGUUUUGAUUUGUGCUUAUUUGUAAUGAGGGGUAGCUAUCAUUUGUAAGCUUGUUACCACAAAUUGAGACAAGCCAUCGACUGAUACAUGAGUCUUCUCGCUAAGGAUAUCUUUCAGUCAACAAAAAAAAAAAAAUUACAGAUACCAGAUGAGAUAUACGUAAUAAAUCAUCGGUCUUAUCAUAUGUGGCCCGAAUUUGGUCUUCUGCUUGGAGUUGGGGACUCGGGUUGACUGAUGAUAGCAAAGGUUACGAGAUGGGCUUGAAGGUACGUAGGAUGGAGGUGGCGGCGUUGCCUGUGCAAUAGUUCUAUCGAGCUAGAGUCAUCGAUUGGGGCUUCCGAACCCUAACUCAGUUGUGGGCUUGGCUUCGACCUCGGGUCUAAGAUAUUUAAUUUUCUUUCUUAACUUUGUAGUUAGUUUUUUGCUUAUUUGAUAGUAUUUGAAUUAAAAAUCCUACCAUUACUUAGUACGACAAUGUGGGGAACGUUGUUCCUGUCUAUUCAUCCUGACUGCCUUGUCUACCCUAGGUUGGCGGGUCUAAGACAUUUAAUUUUCUUUCUUAACUUUGUAGUUAGCUUUAUGCUUCUUUGAUAGUAUUUGAGCUCGUUAAUAAUCCUACCAUUACUUAGUACGACAAUGUGGGGAACGUUGUUUCUGUCUAUUCAUCCUUACUGCCUUGUCUACCCUAGGUUGGCAAAGAGUUUCUUGCAAUGGAAUUGAGUAAUAAUUAACCGUCUAGUGGAAGUAAAUUGUUUGCUUUCAGUAGGCAACGAUUUCUUUGCUUUAUCAAAUGAUCCAUGCUUCUUAGCGGUAAAGUGAAACUCAGUGUCAUCGGAUAUGCUUGUAUAUCGGUGGCAACAAUAUGGAAAAACUGCACUAUUGACGAUGAUGCUAUUUCAUAAUAGAGUUAUUUUUCUUGUAUGUCACUAUGUAAUUGUAGGUGGAAUAUGUUGAUUAUCCUUCAAUAUUGACCUUGCUGUUAUUUAGUUACAACAGAUUUUUAGAGAGAUGAAAUGAGUGUGUGACACGUGUUUACAUUACAGCUUCAUUUCUUUGUCUGUUUGUUACAGCAUUCCUUUCUCUUCUUGUAUAAAUAUCUUUAGAGACUCAUUUCUUUGUAAUCAAGUUUCCAGAUAAUCAAAACAUUUCUCUCUGAGAUUUUGUUCGUCUCUCUUUCUCUCUUUUCUUUCUUGUUUCUCAAACCCUAGCUCAUCUCUGAUGCCAUGGCUAUCAUGGUAUCAAAGCUCCAAUAGAUCCAAGACCUGAGAUACAUGCUUCUGACUCUCCUCUAAUCAUUCUCUUUGGUUUUUUGUUCAGAUCUAGCUCUCGUUGUGCUGCGAUUUGGUUACCAGGGGCUUUGUUCUUAAUUGAAGCUUGAUUAGAGUUUUAAUUUCUUCAUCAGAUCUGAGCUUAUUGAUCACACUUAGGUGAUUUUCUUUGCUCAUAUUCCUUGAAAAAUAUGCGAUUCAUAGUUCUUGGUGAAAUCUGUAAAAUUUUAGAGUUGUGGAGUAAAUCAUGAGCAUAUAGAGCAAAUCAGAGUAAAAUUAGAGCAUAUAGUGUCUCUUUUGAGCAAAUAGCUUCUUGUCUGAGAUAAAAUAGAGCAAAUCUGAGCCUAAAUCUGAGUUUAUUAGAGUAAAUUCUGAUGAAGAAUACAAUUCGAGCAUAUAGUUGAGCUUUGAUGAAGGUUUAGAUGUGAGUACAGAGAUUUUGAGUAUUCAGUUGAACUUUGAUGAAAUUUUAGAUGCAAAUGCUGGUUUGAGUGCUUCAGUUGAGCUUUGGUAAAAUUUUAGAGCUAUUUCAGUGCCUAUGUUGAGAAAAAUUAGUGAUCUGUAGUAUCUGAAGUUGUGCAAUUGGGAGUAAAACUUGUGCACAUUUCAGCUGUUCUUUUUGAAGCAGAAGUGUCUACUUGUGCUGAUCUCAAUCAGUAUUUUUAGUAUUAGUGGUAUUCCUGAUAGAUUGACAUUUGCAGCUAAGGUUCUCAUGGCUUCUCGAAGUGCAUCAUCUAUACCUAGUCUUUCACACUCUGAUGUUCACUCUUUGUUGAGCAUCAUUACAAUGCGUCUUGGAGAAAGGAACUUUAUUAAAUGGAGUUUUCAAUUUCAGUCUACUCUUGUUGGAAAUGGAUUGUUUGGAUUUUUUUAUGGCUUUGAGGUUGCUCCGCCUAGAUAUGCUCUUGCUUCUGAAGGUGAAGUUACAACUGAAGAAACUGCAGCAUAUAAGGCAUGGAAACAAACAGAUAUGGCUCUUCUCAGUCUUUUGAUAGCUACUUUGGAUGAGGAUAUUGUAGAUGUUAUUAUUGGAAGUAAGACAUCUAGGCAAGCUUGGAUAGCUCUUCAAGAACAUUUUUCUGCUGUGUCAAGAGUGAGCAUUAUGCAACUCAAAACUGAGUUACAAACGCUUGGCAAGGGAAGUGAAACAGUUGAAAAAUAUCUGCAGCGUGUGAAGAGUGCUAGAGAUCAACUCCUAUCUGUGGGAGUGUCUGUUCCUGAUGAAGAUCUUGUAAUUGUCAUUCUAAAUGGAUUACUUGAUGAGUAUUCCACUGUGAGAAUUGUGAUUGAGGGUAGAGAAACUCUUAUUUCUCUCCAAGACUUGAGGUCUCAAUUGCUUUCUGUAGAAAGAAGAAUUGAAGAAAGUUUCUCUCUUCUUUCAAACAUGUCUGCUAUGGUAGCUAGAGGCAAUAAUGGAUCAAAUGAGGGAGCACAUGGUACUGGUAGAGGGUGGAAUGAUAAAGUUGAUGGCAAAGUGAAAGAUAAUAGAUUUGCAGGUAGUGGUGUUGAAUGUUCUGUGUGUUGGAAACGAGGUCAUACUGUUGAUACAUGCUUCAGGGUUCACAAAUGUGGGAUAUGUGGUAAACAUGGUCAUCUUACAAGCACCUGUUAUCAGAAUCCUGAUUACAACAUCAACAGUCUUCUCAACCUCAAUCCAAGCCUCAAUAGUCUUCUCAACCUCAAUAUAGGCCACAAAAUAACGGUCCUUCUCCUGAAUGUCAAAUUUGUUCUAAGAAAGGUCACACAACUGCAAAUUAUCCUUGUCCAUUCCUACAUGUCAGAUUUGUGGUCUCAAGGGCCAUGUUGCUCUUAACUGUUCUCAUAGAACCAACUUUGCAUAUCAAGGCUCAGAUCCUCCUUCUACUCUUACUGCUCUAGAAGCUCAAUCUUCUACAAAUACUAACGGUGUUUUUCAGCAAACACAGGGAGGAGGAUAUGUGAUAUCAAAUUGCCCCUCUAGUUCUUGUUUUCCUGGUGGAUUCAAUCCUAGCAGUGAAGCCUCAUCAUCAAAUCAUCCUCCUGCUUCAUCAAAUUCUUAUUCUAACUCUGAAACCUGGAUUGGUGACUCUAGUGCUAUACACCACAUGACUUCAGAGCUAAGGAAUGUUUCAGUUGCUCAACCUUAUGCUUCUGACAACAAGAUAACCAUUGGUAAUGGUACAGGUUUAAAAGUAGCUCAUACAGGCUCAAGUUAUAUUAAACUUGCUGAGCAUGUUUUACAGUUGAAUCAAGUUCUUCAUGUUCCUGACUUAGCAAUGAAUUUAUUGUCCUUCACAAAGUUGUGCAGAGAUAAUGAUUGCUUUAUCACUCUUGAUGAAUCUAACAUUGUUGUGCAGGACAAGGCAUCCAAAAGGAUUCUUUACCAAGGAAAGAGUAGUGAGGAAGGAUUAUUUCUUUUCAAGUCUCCACCACUAUCAUCAAUUUCACAACCUUCUCCAUCUGCUUUUGUCAGCUCAGCUUCUUCAUUUCCAGUAUGGCAUCAAAGGCUAGGUCAUCCUUCUUCUCCUAUCAUGUUUAAAAUGUUGUCUAGUUCCCAAAUAAAAAUUCCUAGUUCGGUUUCUAGUACAAUGUGUUCUUUUGUUUAGAAGGCAAGAUGCACAGACUUCUUUUUCCCCUUCUGAGUCAAAAUCAUCUUUGCCCUUUUCAAAGGUGCAUUAUGAUGUAUGGGGUCCAGCCCCAUGUUUGUCCAUUGAAGGGCACAAGUAUCAUGUUACUUUCAUAGAUCAUUGUACAAGAUUUGUGUGGAUUUUUCCACUUAUCAAAAAAUCUGAUGUUUUUGUCCAGUUUGUUCAUUUUUGUUCUUUUGUUGAAAAUCAAUUCAAUUCAACAAUAAAAAUACUCCAAACUAAUGGAGGUGGUGAAUUUAAUAGCAGGGCCUUUCAUAAUUUUCUUUCUUCAAAGGGUAUUGUUCAUCAAAUUACUUGUCCUCAUACCCCUCAGCAAAAUGGGGUUGCUGAGAGAAAGAAUAGACAUAUAGUGGAAACAACAAUUUCCUUAAUGUCUACAGUUGGUAUUCCCAAACAGUUUUGGUUUCACAGUAUUACUCAUGCAUUCUUGUUAUCUCAUUAACAAAAUGCCUAGCAAAUCUUUAGAUAUGAUCUCUCCCUUUGAACUUCUUUUCCAUAAGCCUCCUGACAUUUCUCAGCUAAAAAUAUUUGGUUCAUGUUGUUAUCCAUAUCUCAGACCUUAUAAUCAUGACAAAUUGGAUCCUAGAACGACACAAUGUGUCUUUUUACGUUAUGCCUUGGGGUAUAAGGGAGUGUUUUGUUACAGUAUCACUCAAAAUAAACUUUGGAUGUCAAGACAUGUAAUUUUUUAUGAAACCAUCUUUCCUUUUCAUCAUACUCCUUUUUCAGAGUCCUCCCCUAUUGAUCCAGUUACUUUCUUUCCCUCUUCUUUCUCCUCUUCAUCUCUCACUACUCUUUCACAUCCGUGGAUGCCUGUCACUUCUUCUCCUGCUUCUGCUCAUGAUGUAGUUGCUAGUAUUGGUGUUGAUUCCUCAAUAACAGAUAUUUCUACAAAUACUAGAUCAGCUGAUAUUGGUUCCACAGAAAAUAGUGGUGUAGUUUCAGCAGGUGAUAUUGAUAUUACUGAUCAUCAUUCAAACAGUGUUGGUUCAACAGGUAGUGAUUUAAAUGCUUUAGGUGAAGCUGACAUAUUGGCAUAUGAUUCAAAUAAUUCGACUGGUGUUGAUACUAUAGUAACUGUUGUUACUAAUACAGGUGGUGUUGAUGUCAUUAAUAAUGGUGCUGCUACUUCUAAUAAUACUGUUUCUCCAAGUAAUGUUUCUGCUCUUAAUGAGCCUGAUUUAAAUGCUUUACAGUAUGGAGGGAAUUUGGAUCAUGAUAUUCCUCAAGAGCUUGCCUCUAUUAUUGAUCAGAACUAUAAUGAUCAUUCUAUGUUAACUCGUGCCAAGAAUGGCAUAGUGAAAAAGAAAAGUUUUGAAGAUUUUUACUGUUUUUCUGCCAUUGCUCAACAACAGUUAUUUUCUAAGUAUCCAUAUUUCAGUGGUUUUACUGCUAUUACUGAUGUCAGUGAUAUUAUUGAACCAAAAUCUUUUCGAGCAACUUCUGGGAAGGCAGAAUGGGAUCAAGCAAUGUUGGAGGAAAUAGAGGCUUUGCUGAAACAAGGUACUUGGACUCUUGUUCCUUGUCCUACAAAUAGAAAUAUUGUGGGAAGUAAGUGGAUUUUUAAAGUCAAGAAGAAUCCUGAUGGGAGUAUUUCCAGAUACAAAGCCAGGUUGGUUGCUCAAGGCUUUAGUCAAUCUAAGGGACUAGAUUAUGAUGAAACUUUUAGCCCUGUGGUAAGACAUAGUACAGUCAGGGUCAUAUUAGCUCUUGCAGCUAUGAAUAAUUGGGAGUUAAGACAACUUGAUGUGAAGAAUGUCUUUUUACAUGGAGAUUUGAAAGAAGAAGUCUAUAUGUCUCAACCUUGGGGUUUUAUUGAUCCAGAAUAUCCUACUCGUGUUUGUUUGCUUAGAAAGUCUCUAUAUGGGUUGAAACAAGCUCCAAGAGCUUGGAAUGAAAAAUUUACUAGUUUCUACCAAGUCUGGUUUUAACUUUUUCUCAUUCAGAUCCCAUUCUCUUUAUCAAACAUACUUCAGCUGGAAUGGUUGCACUGCUAUUAUAUGUGGAUGAUAUAGUUAUCACUGGUUCAGAUUCAAAUGGCAUUCAUGAUGUUAUAUCUAAGUUGAGUAUGGUUUUUGAUAUGAAGGAUCCUGGAUCCUUGUCAUACUUUCUUGGAUUAGAGAUUACAAGAGUUCAAAAAGGCAUAUUACUUGACUAAGUAUGCAAAAGAUCUUACUAUUAAGGCUGGUAUGGACUCAAUUAAUACCUGCAAUUCUCCUUGUUUUCCUCAUUCUCAAAUGACUGUAGAUCAAGGUACUCCUCUUCAAGAUUCUACUCUCUAUAGAAGUAUUAUUGGUGCUUUACAGUAUUUAACAUUUAGUACUCGUCCAGAUAUAGCAUAUGCUGUCAAUACAGUGUGUCAGUUUAUGACUAAUCCCACAGAUGUGCAUUAUGCUGCUGUUAAGAGAAUUUUGAGAUAUUUGAAAGGAACCAUUGCUAAGGGAAUUUUCUAUAGUUCCUCUGGUGCUUUACAUAAUGUUGUGAAUGUGAAGGCCUUUUGUGAUGUUGAUUGGGCUAGUGAAGUUAUACAAAAACGUUCUACUACAGGUUUUGUUGUCUAUCUUGGUUUGUGUCCAGUUUCUUGGCAGUCCAAGAAACAAAGCACUGUAUCUAGGAGUUCUACAGAAUCAGAAUACAGAAGUUUGGCAAAUACUGCUGCAGAAAUUAGUUGGAUCAAGCAUUUACUAUGUGAUUUGAAGACUGCAAUUCCUUCUUCUCCUUUGCUCAAAUGCAUGUGAUAACCUUUCUACUCUAGCAUUAGCCUCCAAUCCAAUAUUUCACUCUAAGAUCAAGCAUCUUGACAAUGAUUGCCAUUUUGUUAGAGAAAGAGUUCAACGCAAUGAUCUUCGACUUGAGUAUGUUUCUACAACAGAACAGACUGCAGAUAUUCUUACAAAAGGCCUAGCAUCUCCUAUAUUUCGAACUCUUUGUGUCAAUCUCAGGCUAGCUUCCCUAGCUGAGGUUGAGGGAGGGUGUUGACUAUCCUUCAAUAUUGACCUUGCUGUUAUUUAGUUAUAACAGAUUU
rnacentral:lncRNA from 1 species